GUAAAGGUUUCCGUGUUGUCAACUGAUUUUUGAUGCGAGGAGUACUUCUGAAUCGACGAUCGACUCCGCUAAAUUUGAUCUAGAGUAUUUAAAAUAUUUAGAAAACAAAUUUCAUAAUUUUUCGAUGUCAUUUAUCUAGUGAUUGAAAUGGUUCAAAAUUAACGGCUGAAAAUAAUUAAAAUCUCGCAAAGAAGUGAUGAUACGAUACUAAAAUUUUAGACAAAAAAUAUUGAUCUUAUUUUAUUAUUUUAUAUAGUAUAAAAAAUUUUACAUGACUUUGAUAUUUCUAUAUAGUUAAACUUGCAAAUAGGUCACCGCGACUAUUAAAAUUGUUAAUUUAAACCCCUUCAAUCAUCACGUAAAUAAUAUCAAAAAUUUAUAAUUUUUUUUUUUAGAUACUUUAAAUACUCUAAAUCAAGUUUAAUAUAGCCGAUCGUCGAUUUGGAAGUAGCAUCGAAAACGGCUCGUCAACACGGAAACCUUUGUGCGCUCUCUCUCUA
rnacentral:lncRNA from 1 species